CAGAAGGAGAUAAAAAGUGCAGAGGAUUUUAAUUUCCAAAAGUUAGUUUAGCGAGGUAAAUGAAGACCCCUUAAUUCAUCUUCUUGUUAAAUAUGAAAUUGAGUUUACUUUAGUUGUUUUCAAUGGAGUAUUAUAUAUAUAUAUAUAUAUAUAUAUAUAUGUGUGUGUGUGUGUGUGUGUGUGUGUGUGUGUGUGUGUGUGGACCCUUCCUUCCUGUUUACUCUGAAUAAGUUAGUCCUGAUAAGCACGCUGAUGACCUUAUAAUAUAAUGAAAUGACAUAAUCAAAUUUAUAAUACGUCAAUCAAAUUUUAUUUUUCAAGGGCUAGGGUUCUUAUAUUAAAUUGGGGGUUUGUAUUCAAGGAAAGAGUAAAUUGAAUUGUUGGGUUGAUUAUUGUUUGGGGUUGAGGCAGAGAGUUGUCGGGGAAGGGGGAAGCCGGAGUCGGCCGGCAGCUUCGCCAGCGGUGGUGCGCGGCGACGGUGGCGAGGUUGUAGCCGCAGGAAGGAAGAUGGGGAUGAAAGGAGUUGUGUCCGUUGUGUGUGUGUGGGUUGGUAUGCGUGGGUGUGCAAAGCGUGUGUGUGUUGCGCGGAAAGAAGGGUGGAGCCGCUGUAGCGGCAGUAGUGACACCAGUGGCGAGAGAGAGGAGAGAUAUGGGGAAAGAGGGGGUUGGAAGUGANGACGGGAUAACCGUAAACACAUAAUUGAGAAUAAAAGAAAUAAAGAUUAAAAUCAUAAUAAAUGACUAUUUAAGAAAUAAGGAGUUAGUGGUUAUAAAAUAUGGAUUUGGAACAAGAAUAAUAAAAUUAUGCGAGAGGGGUAACAACAAUAAUGACUAGCUUGGGAAGUAUAAAAUAAGAUUUAUUAAAAAUAAUGACUGAGAUAAUAAUUUGGGGAUGUAGAGAUAAUCUCACAUUGAAUUUAUUAAAUAAAAUGGUGAAUAUUUGUUGAAAAAUAAAUAGGUGAACAAGAUUUAAUAAAUGGACAAAUAUUUGAUUGCACAAAUCAUAAGUAUGUAUUAUUAAAUUAAGUGAAUUUCAUGGGUUAGCGAGAAUAGAAAAGAGAGAAUAUCAUGUAUGAGGAGAAUAAUUUUUAAUAUUGAUAGAGAUGAUGGUAACAAAUAAUAUUAAUAGUAGUUUGAUCGAUUGGGUUUAGUAGUUAAUAAUUAAAAGAAUUAAGUGGUGAAAGACGGUUGGGGAUUAGAAUCAAAUAAUUAAUAUUUAAUAUAUUCAUAAAAAAAAUAAAGAGAUUGGAUAUAAUAUUUAAGUUUGAUUUAAAAAGAGAAUAGUUAUUCGAUCGAGCUCCUGAUAUUAUUUAUCAGAUAUAAAUUAUUUUGGGAUGCUUAUAUUCUUUGAAUUAGAAUACUGAAUAUAUUAUUUUCAUGGCUUAGAAUAUAUAUUCUCUGGAAAAAGGCGGAGCCAAUUGUAUAUUAAAUUUCAGAAAAUAAUUCAAGUUAAGGAAGUCAGGCAAGUUCACUGUCCCUCUCUUGACAUGAAGUUUUCGUGCUUAUUUAAUGAUUUUGUGAAAAGUGUUGAUUGUGAAGAUAUUAUAUUUCGUACCAUUGUGUAUCGAGAAAAUAUCUCUGUGUCAUUCUGAAGACUUGAAAGAUAUUGUUCACAUAUUAUUUUUUAUAAUUUGAGCCCUCCCAUUGUUCGGGAAUGAGCUGAUCCUAGCACGGUAGUAUUAUGAAUUUUCGAAACUUGAUGUGAAUACAUUGCAGUGAUGAUCUCAAUUUACUCAUUUUUGAGAUCAUCUUGUCCUUUGAAAUCUAGUUCUUUUAAUUAUCUUUCACUUCUACCUUCGGGUGAUCUUUGUUGUGGUGAAACGGUGCAUUGUUCGCACUUCUUUGAUAAAGAUGAGUAGUGAUGAUUGAGAAGUGUUUGUUUGAGAAAAUUUCUUUGUAUUCGGUGGAAUCUGUUCAAGAUGGUCAACACGAAUUUAUUAAAUUCGUGGUAGAGUUGAAAUUUACUAUCUGGUAAGGCAGAUAGCAGGGUUCCAGUGUUAAACCCUGAUGCUAGCAAAGAGAGUGAUGGUGUGUCUUUAGUGCUUACGAUCAAACCACUAGGAUUACACAGGAGAACGGUAUUCACGAAGUGGUGCUGAUCGAGCCAUGUAGUGUUACCGAGGGGUGGAAGACCAGCAUUUUCUUUACUUGAAAUUGUGUUGUCAUUUGAUGGUAACUGUUUUGUUACUUGGACUUGAAUUGUCUUCUAUGCUUUAUUCACAUAUCUUAAUAAUGUUUGUUUUGUGCUAUGUGGACUUGCUGAGCAAUUAGUUGCUCAUUCUUGCAUCUACUUUAUUCCUUUUGAACAGUAAAGAGUUAGUAUGGCACAACUCAAGAGAACCGCCCGGAAACGGGUUUUGGCAAAGUAAAGGAGAAGGCACAUCACAUGAGCUGAAGCUGCUAGGCAACGCCGUUUGGUUAUACCAUCUACAGUUAUUAUAAUAGUCUGUAAUCAGACUUAUAUUAUGUAAUAAAUUUAGACCUGGUAGUAAUGUUGUAAGACGAUCGACCCUGGACUUGUGGG
rnacentral:lncRNA from 1 species